AAAUGCAAAAGGAAUCAUUCCUGCCUUUCCACACCAGCACUCAGGAGGAGGAAAGCAGAACUAGUGAGAGGACUUGUGAUUUGGUAUGUUCUUCUUCUCUGGAAAGAAGGAAUGAAUUUCCAGUCCUAGAGAGCUAAACUCUACCACAUCACCUGGCUACAGUGUGAAAUCCCUUCAGGACAGUUUUGGAGAUGGUGAUGGCACACAUACUGCCUUCUGAUGAUUUUCCCAGUGGUCGUUCAAGCGCAUGGCAUUCAGCUCAUUCCGAUUCUCCUCUCGCCUCUGCAGCAGCUUCUUAAAGGCUUCCAUUUGAACCUUCUGCAACCUGCAAGGAAAGAAAAGGGUUCGGAACAAGAGGCUGAGGACCUGGCUGUCCCCUGCAUCCCCUGCAUCCGCUGCAUCCUCUGCAGCUGACAGGGUACGCGACUCUCUCCUAGAAAGAGGUGCAAGAUGGAAGAUUGGUCACAGUCAUUAAAG